CAAACCCUCUCAAGAUACGAUAACUUCUUUUCUCCGCAGCCUUCUUUGCAGAACUAGGGUUUUGAAAGCGAACUUCGUUUCAUCGUCACCAUGAGAGCCAAGGUAAGAGCUCCAUCUCCUUUCCCUACUUGCGCUUUCUCUUAUUCUUUGUUAUCUGUUCGUUUAUUGAUUUGUUGUUUUUGUUUUGUGGCGUGGGCAGUGGAAGAAGAAGCGCAUGAGGAGGUUGAAGAGGAAGCGCCGAAAGAUGAGACAGAGAUCCAAGUAGUUUUGCCGCUAUCCACCAUCAAUCGACGUCGUCUCUCACCCGAUCCCCAUGUUUUGUUUUCUAAUCAAGUAAUCAGUACCGAUUAGUCAGCUUGUAGUCGUUGUGUACUUUUGUGAUUCUCUCAGUUUGAACAAUUUUUGCUUAAUUUCAGUCAGCUUUCAAACCAUAUUAUGAGCUUUAAAAUAACUGAUUUUCUAUCUGAGCCUCGGUAUCGCGAUUUUAAAUUCUGAU
rnacentral:lncRNA from 1 species